rnacentral:rRNA from 1 species
CAUGAAGCUGGAUUCGCUAGUAAUCGCGCAUCAGCCACGGCGCGGUGAAUACGUUCCCGGGCCUUGUACACACCGCCCGUCAAGCCAUGGAAGCCGGGAGUGCCUGAAGUGCGUGAGCGCAAGCAGCGCCCUAAGGUAAAACCGGUGACUGGGGCUAAGUCGUAACAAGGUAAC